GCUAGCGGCGGCUUAACACAUGCAAGUCGAGGGGUAACGAGAAAGCUUGCUUUCAGACGACGACCGGCGCACGGGUGAGUAACGCGUAUGCAACCUACCAAUAACUUGGGGAUAGCCCGGAGAAAUUCGGAUUAAUACCCAAUAAUAUUUUAAGAAGGCAUCUUCUUAAUCUUAAAGUUCCGACGGUUAUUGAUGGGCAUGCGUAGCAUUAGCUUGAUGGUGAGGUAACGGCUCACCAUAUUGGCGAUGAUGCUUAGGGGGUCUUAAAGGAUGGUCCCCCACACUGGUACUGAGACACGGACCAGACUCCUACGGGAGGCAGCAGUGAGGAAUAUUGGUCAAUGGAGGCAACUCUGAACCAGCCAUGCCGCGUGCAGGAUGACGGUCCUAUGGAUUGUAAACUGCUUUUGUACGGGAAGAAACCUGAUUACGUGUAAUCAGCUGACGGUACCGUAAGAAUAAGGAUCGGCUAACUCCGUGCCAGCAGCCGCGGUAAUACGGAGGAUCCAAGCGUUAUCCGGAUUUAUUAGGCUUAAAGGGUGCGCAGGCGGAAAAAUAAGUCAGUGGUGAAAUCCUACAACUCAACUGUAGAACUGCCAUUGAUACUGUUUUUCUUGAGUAUAGUUGAAGUAGGCGGAAUGUGUAGUGUAGCGGUGAAAUGCAUAGAGAUUACACAGAACACCAAUUGCGAAGGCAGCUUACUAAACUAUUACUGACGCUCAUGCACGAAAGCGUGGGGAGCGACAGGAUUAGAUAA
rnacentral:rRNA from 1 species